CCCUGCCAUUUGUACACACCGCCCGUCGCACCUACCGAUUGAAUGGUCCGGUGAAAUCUUCGGACCGUGACAUGGUUUUGUUCACUCAAGACGUUGUCGCGGAAAGUUGAUUAAACCUUACCAUUUAG
rnacentral:rRNA from 1 species